CUUGGUCAUUUAGAGGAGUAAAAGUCGUAACAAGGUUUCCGUAGGUGAACCUGCGGAAGGAUCAUUAUCGAAAUUAUUGGUGAGGGUUGUAGCUGGCCUUUCGAGGCAUGUGCACGCUCGAGCCCUUAAUCCACUUUACACCUGUGCACUUAAUGUAGGUCGCCCUUAAAAAAGGUGACCUAUGUCUUAUCAUCAACCCAUCGUAUGUCUCAUAGAAUGUAAUCGAUAUCCUCGCCCUGAAAAAGCGUUGAUAAACUUAUACAACUUUCAACAACGGAUCUCUUGGCUCUCGCAUCGAUGAAGAACGCAGCGAAAUGCGACAAGUAAUGUGAAUUGCAGAUUUUCAGUGAAUCAUCGAAUCUUUGAACGCACCUUGCGCUCCUUGGUAUUCCGAGGAGCAUGCCUGUUUGAGUGUCAUUAAAUUCUCAACUCCAAGGGUUUCACGACCUUUCGGAGAUUGGACUUGGAGGUGCUGGCCGCAUAUUGGUCGGCUCCUCUCAAAUGCAUCAGCGGAAUUCAACCUUUGGCUUCCGGAUGUCAGUGUGAUAAUCAUGUUGCGCUGUCGUUUGAUCCCUCAGAGUCCGCUUAUAAUGGUCUUCGGACAAAAUCAUCAUCAAAUUUGACCUCAAAUCAGGUAGGACUACCCGCUGAACUUAAGCAUAUCAAUAAGCGGAGGA
rnacentral:rRNA from 1 species